rnacentral:lncRNA from 1 species
GCUGGAUUCUGCAUGUGCCUCCCGCUUAUUGGCGGCCGGGGUUGCUGCCUGCCGGUUUGAUAGGUUUCCCCAGUAAUCUUUAUGCUGCAUUACAGACAUAGAUACAGAGAGGUACUGCGUGCAUGCAACGGGAGAGGUGCUCAGCUCGUAGCGUAAAAGAAAGCCCACAGAUGAAAGGCACUGGUCUUUGUUGCAAAGCAUCAGUACUUAAGGACUGCUAGCUGGGAGCAGAGAGAAUCCCCUGGAGCAUUACAUUCCCCUGUCUGGAGUGUGGACAAGAGUUUGGCAUUCUGCUUUCACAGAUCGCUGCCGCUCGCUCGUGGAGCGCAGAGGGGACGGCCAGACUCCCACAUCUUUCAGUGAGAAGAAAGGAGCCAGCGGAGCAGAAUAAUACGGACUUGUGUCGGGUGCCCUUGCCCUACAAAGGCUGCCUUUAAAAGAGAAACGCAGUGCUAUUUAAUGAGCUGUGAGAUGAGGCGCUGCUGCUAACGCUCAGAUCCCGGGAUUCAUCGGCUAUUCAUUGUGCUUAAUGUACAUGUUUCUGCACCGUGCAUUUAGGAGAUCCCAGAGAAGAAUCCAAAACGGCUG